rnacentral:rRNA from 1 species
AGCGAACGCUGGCGGCAGGCCUAACACAUGCAAGUCGAACGAACCUUUCGGGGUUAGUGGCGGACGGGUGAGUAACACGUGGGAACGUGCCUUUAGGUUCGGAAUAACUCAGGGAAACUUGUGCUAAUACCGAAUGUGCCCUUCGGGGGAAAGAUUAAUCGCCUUUAGAGCGGCCCGCGUCUGAUUAGCUAGUUGGUUGAGGUAAUGGCUCACCAAGGCUACGAUCAGUAGCUGGUCUGAGAGGAUGAUCAGCCACAUUGGGACUGAGACACGGCCCAAACUCCUACGGGAGGCAGCAGUGGGGAAUCUUGCGCAAUGGGCGAAAGCCUGACGCAGCCAUGCCGCGUGAAUGAUGAAGGUCUUAGGAUUGUAAAAUUCUUUCAACGGGGACGAUAAUGACGGUACCCGGAGAAGAAGCCCCGGCUAACUUCGUG